rnacentral:rRNA from 1 species
CCUACGGGUGGCAGCAGUAGGGAAUCUUCCACAAUGGGCGAAAGACUGAUGGAGCAACGCCGCGUGGGUGAAGAAGGUCCUCGGAUCGUAAAACCCUUUUGUUAGAGAAGAAAGUGAGUGAGAGUAACUGUUCACGUUUGUACGGCAUCUAACCAGAAAGCCACGGCUAACUACGUCCCAGCAGCCGAGGGAAUACGUAGGUGGCAAGCGUUGUCUGGAUUUUUUGGGGGUAAAGGGAACGCAGGCGGUCUUGUAAGUGUGAUGUGAAAUCCUUCGGCCUAACCGGAGUAGUGCAUUGGAAACUGGGAGACUUGAGUGCAGAAGAGGAGAGUGGAACGCCAGGUGUAGCGGUGAAAUGCGUAGAUA